UACAGAGGGUGCAAGCGUUAAUCGGAAUUACUGGGCGUAAAGCGUGCGUAGACGGUCACGUAAGUCGGGUGUGAAAGCCCCGGGCUCAACCUGGGAAUUGCAUUCGAGACUGCAUGGCUAGGGUGCGGAAGAGGGAAGCGGAAUUUCCGGUGUAGCGGUGAAAUGCGUAGAUAUCAGGAGGAACACCGGUGGUGUAGACGGCUUUCUGGACCGUAACUGACGCUGAAACACGAAAGCGUGGGUAGCAAACAGG
rnacentral:rRNA from 1 species